rnacentral:rRNA from 1 species
GACGAACGCUGGCGGCGUGCCUAAUACAUGCAAGUCGACCUUAGUGGCGAACGGGUUAGUAACACGUGGGUAACCUUCCCAUCAGAAGGGGAUAACACUUUGAAACAGCUGCUAAUACCGUAUACUGCUUGAUGGACCCGCGGGGCAUUAGCUAGUUGGUGAGGUAACGGCUCACCAAGGCCACGAUGCAUAGCCGACCUGAGAGGGGGAUCGGCCACAGUGUGACUGAGACACGGCCCAAACUCCUACGGGAGGCAGCAGGAGGGAAUCGUGGGCAAUGGACGAAAGUCUGACCGAGCAACGCCGCGUGAGUGAAGAAGGUUUUCGGAUCGUAAAACUCUUUUGUCAGGGAAGCGGUAUCUGACGAGAAAGCCACGGCUAACUACGUGCCAGCAGCCGCGGUAAUAC